GACGAACGCUGGCGGCGUGCUUAACACAUGCAAGUCGAACGGGAUUUAGUAAACAGAAGCCUCGGUGGAAGAUUACUAAUGAGAGUGGCGAACGGGUGAGUAACGCGUGAGCAACCUGCCUAUGACAGUGGGAUAGCCUCGGGAAACCGGGAUUAAUACCGCAUAAAAUCGUAGAAACACAUGUUUUAACGGUCAAAGAUUUAUCGGUCAUAGAUGGGCUCGCGUCUGAUUAGCUAGUUGGUGAGAUAACAGCCCACCAAGGCGACGAUCAGUAGCCGGUCUGAGAGGAUGAACGGCCACAUUGGAACUGAGACACGGUCCAAACUCCUACGGGAGGCAGCAGUGGGGAAUAUUGCACAAUGGGGGAAACCCUGAUGCAGCGACGCCGCGUGAACGAAGAAGGUAUUCGUAUCGUAAAGUUCUGUCCUAUGGGAAGAUAAUGACAGUACCAUAGAAGAAAGCUCCGGCGAAAUACG
rnacentral:rRNA from 1 species